rnacentral:rRNA from 1 species
CAGUAGCCGCGGGAACACGUAGGGUGCAAGCGUUAAUCGGAAUUACUGGGCGUAAAGCGCACGCAGGCGGUCUGACAAGUCGGAUGUGAAAUCCCCGGGCUUAACCUGGGAACUGCAUUUGAAACUGUCAGGCUGGAGUCUUGUAGAGGGGGGUAGAAUUCCAGGUGUAGCGGUGAAAUGCGUAGAGAUCUGGAGGAAUACCGGUGGCGAAGGCGGCCCCCUGGACAAAGACUGACGCUCAGGUGCGAAAGCGUGGGGAGCAAACAGGAUUAGAUACCCCGGUAGUCCCUGUCUCUUAUAA